AUUGAACACCCCAGCAUGCAACAAGCAGUGUUCACUAUUAAACUGUGACACUCACUCUAAACGGAAGCUAAACUGAGGAUGUAGCAGAGACUCUAUAUUUAGACUGUCAGAGUCGGGGGGAUGAAUUCGGAUUAGCAUGUAAGUCAGAGUUUUGAAUGAACCAAGCCGUCCUCUGUGGCGCAACACUGAUACAUAGAACAGACACCAGGGCACAGACACAGACAGGAUCACACACACUGAGCUACAGACGGGACGACAGGCAAACACACGGUUGCCUUUAGCACCCUGUUCAAUAGGUUGCUCUGCUCCAACAUCACACUCACAUCACACAUCAACAUGUUCAGCUAAGAAGUCAAGUAAAUGUUAAUUGAAGGUCAUUUCAAGUUUUUUGUCACAACUGAAGGAAAUGGUUUUCCAAUCUGGAUAUAUUUUUUAUUUAUUUUUAUUUUACCAUGUAAGUUGACUGAGAACACAUUCUCAUUUACAGCAACAACCUGGGGAAUAGUUUUCAGGGGAGAGAGAUGAAUGAGCCAAUUGUAAGCUGGGGAUGAUUAGGUGGCUGUGAUGGUAUGAGGGCCAGAUUGGGAAUUUAGCCAGGACACUGGGGUUUACUCUUACGAUAAGUGCAAUUGGAUCUUUAAUGACCUCAGAGAGUCAGGACACCCGUUUAACGUCCCAUCCAAAAGACAGUACCCUACACAGGGCAGUGUCCUGGGGCAUUUUUUAGGCCAGAGGAAAGAGUACCUCCUACUGGCCCUCCAACAGCACUUCCAGCAGCAUCAGGUCUCCCAUCCAGGGACUGACCAGGACCAACCCUACAUAGCUUCAGAAGCAAGCCAGCAGUGGGAUGCAGGGUGGUAUGCUGCUGACAAUAUUAUGUGAUGAUUAUAUAUUAUUAUAUUAUAUAACAUGAUUUUAAAGUUGAUAUUAAAAUCAAAAAUGACUCAUUCUGAUAAAUCAAGGCUGUUAAUGUAAAUGAGAACUCAAUUGAGGCGUAAGUGAAGUGUACACGCUCAAAUCAUCACAUAUGAAGAUUGUUAAAGACAUUGGAUGACAAAGACGCUGGAGAGACAACAUAGAUAACAUGUUAAGAAUAACACUUGAAAAAAACGCCACAUCAAAUUCAUUAGCAACCUCAGACAGCUGAUAUGCACAUAAUAAAGACAGGUUUCUAUGAACACCUGGAGUUAGUCACUGAUUGAGACACAUUUUAAGAUAAAAACAUUGUAAUUAGAUGAAGAGCAACAUUCACAAACACUUUUGGAGGGAAACCAUGGACAAACAACAGGAAGAUGAUAUGUAUCCCAGUGGACAAUUUACAAUGGAAUGACUGAAAACAAACAACAGCAGGCGAAGAGGAGUCUAGCGAGCCCCAGACUGAGACAUCACUUUAACAUCAGACACGAAAGUCAUGAGAUGAACACAGUAAGAAAUGCAGAGAUAAAGAAAUGAACACUUUACCCUUGUUUGCAGAUUGGAUAGACUUUCUGUCCAGUACCGGGCAACCAAUACUUUUUGUUCCAGGAGCCAGAGGACUCACACUUUUAGUAGACUGUCCUCCUACAGGGCCCAGACCUUUGGACCCUGUCCAGUCUGGCACCCCAGCAGAAGGGCCUUUUGCACCUUGUCCAGCAGGUACAUAGCUUUUAGAUGCCUGCCCUUCUAUUGCAACAGGGCCAAAAUGUUUGGCUCCCGGUCCAUCUGGUAUCGUAGGUCUAUAGUGUUUGGCUCCCUGUCCAUCUGGUAUCAUAGGUCUAUAGUUUUUGGCUCCCUGUCCAUCUGGUAUCGUAGGUCUAUAGUUUUUGGCUCCCUGUCCAUCUGGUAUCGUAGGUCUAUAGUGUUUGGCUCCCUGUCCAUCUGGUAUCGUAGGUCUAUAGUGUUUGGCUCCCUGUCCAUCUGGUAUCGUAGGUCUAUAGUGUUUGGCUCCCUGUCCAUCUGGUAUCGUAGGUCUAUAGUUUUUGGCUCCCUGUCCAUCUGGUAUCGUAGGUCUAUAGUUUUAGGCUCCCUGUCCAUCUGGUAUCGUAGGUCUAUAGUUUUGGCUCCCUGUGCUACAGGACCAAUACUUUUGCCCUCUUUCCCAACAGGCACCUGAGGUUCUAGACUUUUAGCCGCCUGUGACUCUGGGACCACAGAACCAACACCUUCGGAGCCCUGUGGCUGCUGAGCUACUGGACCUGUGCUUCUGGUGCCGCAGGACCAAGACUUUUGGCCUCUUUCCUAAUGGGUAUCUGAGGUCCUAGGCUUUUAGCCCCCUGUGUAUGGGAUGCCACAGGACCAGAACUUUUGACCCCUUUGCCAUUUGGAGCUGCCGGUCCAAAACCUUUGGCCCCCUGUGUCUGCUGAGCUACGGGACCAGAACUCUUGGCCUCCUUUCCCAGUGGAGCUGCAGGUCCAUAGCUUUUGGCUCCCUGUGCUUGAAGAACAACAGGAUAAGGGCUUUUGGGCCCCUUCACAUCUAGCAAUGCAGCAGGUCCUUGGCUUUUUGCUCCUGUUAAAUCCUGUGCCACUAGACCUUCACCCUUAUUACCCUUUCCAGCACCUCCCAAACCUCCCGCAGAGGCACCUGGCAGAAAAAAGCUUGUCACCAUUCACUAUUGAAUUCUUUGGGACCUGGAGAAGGCUCAGAUCGUAUGCAUAUCCCAUUGGCACACUAAUGGCUGAGGGCAGAAGACUUUCACAAUAAUUAACUAUUGGCAUUUACAGAUCUUUUUUGUUAGAAAAAGUUUUUCACGUUUUUCUUUUUUACUGCAAAAACUGAGACAAGCCUUAAAGGUAUAGAUUUCAGGACUUUAUCUACUUCUCCAGAGUCAGAUGAACUCGUGGAUACCAUUUUUAUGUCUGCGUCCAGUAUGAAGGAAGUUAGAGGUAGUUUUGCGAGUCAAUGUAAACUAGCAUUAGCGAAAAGACUGGAAGUCUUCGAGAUCAGCUAGCAUUCUUCCUUUAUACCUCUAACGUCCUUCAUACUGGACACAGAGACAUACAUUUUUAACCACAAGUUAA
rnacentral:lncRNA from 1 species